GGGGGCGACCUGGUUUCGAUUGUGUAGGUGGCUUCAUGGCUGCGUGCCGAGGUCCUCGGGUUCCUCGUAAAACCGCCUGGGAAACGUUACCUGCGAACAACAACUUCGCUCUUGCUGCGUAAAGCUUAGGCUUUACCCCAGCAGUGCCCGAUGGUCAGCCCUCCCGGGGCGGGCUGACGGGUAUCGCAAAUCCGGGAUAGCGUGGCCGUACGUCCUCGACGGCAGCGCGAAACUCUAGAGGGCUCAUCUGUCGGUCGGGCGCUCACCACCCAGCCGCCGGAAACAUCAAUCGGUGAGCUACGCACGUAGACGCUGUGGAUGAUCCUGUGCAAGACGAGGGUUCGACUCCCUCCGCCUCCACUC
rnacentral:tmRNA from 1 species